AUGCAUUCAGUCAGCUGUCGGUUUCCUGCUGCUCCCCGAGAGAAUUUAGCCAUUCAGACGUACCCUCGAGCCAGCUAGCCGGGUCCUUGGUAACUUCAGCUUCCCCUUCGAUUGACCUCUCCGACCCUGCUCUACAUAAUCUCGACGACAACUCGCACAGUCGAAACGAGAGUCCCUGCGGCAAGUUGAUCUCAGAUCGAUCGGAGCAUGCAGCCUUUAAUUAGUCUUGAAAGCCUCACUUAACAGUUGGGAGUGAGGGCUAUACAUGGCCGGCGUCGUCACGGCCAUGCAAGGGCAGGUGCCCAGCUAUAUAUCCAUCUGCGGCUCUGCCGGUGGCUGCCGCAGGCCGAUCGGUAGACCCAGAUGAGAGGAGGAUGGAUGGCGAGGCGCGCCAGGUGGAGAAGCAGGGCACGUGCAUUCUUUUCCAGAUGGCCGGCCGGCCGACAGCGCCCGCGCGCCGCCGAGGCCAGGCCUGAGCACCGAUCGAUCGAUCGAGCUCGCAUGCAUGUGCCCUUCUUCUCCACCGUGCGCGCCUCGCCUGCGCGCGCACACCGGCCCGUGCAUGGAACUGGAAGCGCCUCGAUCAGUGCAUGAUUUGUUCUUCUGAAAGCAGACAGCCGCCAGUUCGAUUCUUUCACUUCGAUCAAUCUACAGCUGGGAGAGAAGCACAUAUAUUUAACACUUGCCAAGGAUCGAUGAUGAACGAACCGCGCAUGCAUCCUCCUCCGCGCUUUGCUACAAGAGCGCAACAGGAUGAGAAUAUCUUGAUCAUCGGAGGGCUAUCAAUGUCAACAGAGAAAUGACUAUUUGUAAAUCGAUUGAGCUAUAGUCACUCUCAUUCGAUCCUCUGUUUGCUUUUCAAGGUUCUAUUUACUCAUCCUCCCUAUUCUCUACGGUAGUAGAAAAUGGAGCAAGCUAGCUAGUAAAUAAUUAACGGCUAGUUAUAACAACUAAACACAACUGUUUGAAGUUGUGCAUGCAAUGCUUCCAAAAUUACUUUCUAUUUCUUGUCAAACAUAA